CACAUCCCUGAUGACAAAUUGCAGUCACAUGUGGAGGCAUUGGCAGUUCAGCAUUUUGCAGCAGAGAACAGGCUGCAGUACCCAGGCCUGUGCUUGUCAGUCCUGGAAGGGCUUGUCCAAGCCGCAAAGCUGCCCAACCCAGCGCAGUACUGCUGGGGCACCACAGAGAAAAUCUUCCAGCUGCUACCAGGUGAAAUUCAGUUUAUAGACUGGUUCUUGGAAUAAUAGAAGGUACUAAAGAUGGUCUGUCGGAAACAUCUAUUCAAAAUGUAAAAGUUUCUUAAGCCUGCCUAUUCAUUGCAAGGACAUUUCGUAAUUUGACCGUUGGUGUGGCACAUGCAUAUUUCGAUUACCUUGAAUGAAAGCCGGAUGUGCAGUUGAAAAUAAAUUUCAUAAUGAAGUGCGCCUCGUUCGUUUUGUGGAGAAAAUGGCAUUGAGCAAACGACCCAUGAGUAAUAAAUGAAAAUAUGAGGCUUAAGCCAGAAUGGGAAGCAAAUUUUGCUUUCACUGAAAACAGUGGUAACCCUCUGUGCCUCACCUGCAACAAAUCACUUAUACACUGUAGUCUGUACAAGACGAUCAACCUCAAACAUCACUAUGAAACAACUAACACAUUUUCAACUGAAUAUCCUCCUGGAUCAGACUUGAGGAUAAACAAGCUGGCCACUUUAAAAGCAUGCCUCAGCAGUCAGCAGAUGCUUCUUUUGGCGUUCAGUAAAGAAGCUGAUGUAACGACUCAAGUGAGUUUUGUACGGCAUGGAAUAUCGCUCAUGCCAAAUAUCCUUAUUCAUAUAAAUGAAUCUUUUUAUAGAACUGGACUUUUGGUGCUAGACUAGAGAAUGCAUGUUUAAAUGUUAUAUUGCAGGUCUAACAUGUAUAUUAUAUUUACAUAUCUUACAUCUUGUCAUGAGCAGGUACUGUAAUCCCUUUCAAAAUAAAUACAGUGCAUUUGGCAUCCACAAAGUCUCAGAAGUCUUUAAUACAUACAGCAGUCAUACAAAAUAUUGUUACUGUGACAGAAAGUAUGUGAAACAAAGAAAAUAUCUUUUUAUUUUUGUUACACAAAAAACAAAAGAAAAAUUACAGGCGUGAGGGAGGGAAUGCUGGAUCAAAAAAAAAAAAAAACUCCAUGCGCCUUCUACUUUCUAAGUCCUCUAUGGAUCGACCACAGUACAUUAAAAAAAAAAAAAAGUUUAACAGAACACACACACAAACUCUGUGGCACAGACACUCCUUGAUCACUACUCUCCCCUAUCCUCAUAACCCUGCCUGUAUUUCAAAGGCUUUCAUAGAACGCAGUAGCAUGUUUCCUUUUGUAUGCAAAGCCUUGUCCCUGUAGUCAGUGGAACACCAAUCCCGAACUGACAAAUGUUGCUACAAUUCACUUGACUUGAGUGACCAGGACCUACAUACUCGCACUUCCGCCCCUCACCAAGGUGACUUCUGUCAUGGUCACGUGAUCUUGGUAAGCGAAGUCCCAAGUUAGCUUUGUGCCUUCUAUUGCCUGGAGGCUGAAUUACAAACCGAAACCCCUUUGACUCGUCACAGUUACAUUUAACAUUUAAUACACUGUAGAUCUACAGCACAAUAAAAAUUACUCAAAAACUGUAAGGCUCUGUCUGCAAUGUUUGCCCUUGUUCUUGUGUAUUUUGCUGCUAUCGAGAUAACAACUACUGUACUGUGCAGAGUAAGUGCAAGAUUGAGUUAUAAUUUGGCCAGCCCUGAUCUAAAUGUUGGUUAAAUCUGAUAGAGGAGAUGCAUGCAUUCCUCCUACUAAAUUGUCCACCUCUAAUAAUAAAUGUAGUUCACCACUG